UCAAACCUGACUGUCUCAAUUUAAACUGAAUGAAUGGUCCAUCAAAUUAAAUUGGUACACACAAAGUGCAUGAGUACAUACACAACAGCGACAACUUAAUUGAUUCUUAAAAAUAGUAAUCAAAUAAAAAAAUACUGGAUACAAGAUUCACUCUGAAAACCAAAUAGUACCAUGCAGCAAAGCAACAAACACCACUUCUUCUGAGACACCUUUAUUUUUGAGCUUCCACACGCGUGGUCCCGUCUGAAAGGCGAGAGGAGAACGUGCAUGAUCACCACAGCAUUCCAAUCACGUGAUUGCAUUCAAUAGAAGAACCCCUGAAUAGAUGGAAGGGAGAAAAAAAAACACAACUGGGCGUGAGAAAGGUUGCCUACAGAAAGUGUUGUAAGAAAUUGUUGGUUAUGAUUAAAUACCUCUUGCAUUGGUACUCGGUAGUCAAAUGUCCUGAUAUAACAGUUCCUGAC
rnacentral:lncRNA from 1 species